rnacentral:lncRNA from 1 species
GCUAUUGCUUAUGGGUGGAGAGCAGAAGACAACUGCUAGGAGUCAGUUCUUUCCUUCCACUGUGUAGGUCCUUUUGAUCAUCAAACUUGGUAGCAGUUUCCUUUACCUACCAAAUCAUCUAACAGGCCCUAAAAGACCAUUCUUAAUCCUAAAAGCCAUUGGAGACAGGAGGCAAGAUGGAGGUGGUAGAGACACUUUCAGAUGCUAAAAGAGAAGGUGAAGGCAACAGGAAUGAUGUGCACUUUUCUGCCCUGCAGGAUCUUCCACUGGGUAUCAGAUGUAUGCUAACGAAGCUGGAAGACCAUGAUAACACAAACCUUCUACAGCCCAUUUGCUGCGAGACUCCUUCAGAUCAGUGCUGUUCUAGGCAAGAUGUGUGCACUAUACAUGACAGAGGCUCCAUGUCAGGUUACAAACAGCAUUCUGGAAGCCAAGCAACCUUACAGGAAUAUAAGGAAGUGGGUGCCAGGUAUAUGUGCUCCCCACAUCUAUGGGCUAAGGCUGCUUUGUACAAUGAAAAGUAUUGUGAUCCCAUUGUCUAG